GCUUAACGCGAAGAACCUUACCAAGGCUUAAAUGUAUUAUGACCGUCCUGGAAACAGGACUUUCUUCGGACAGAAUGCAAGGUGCUGCGUGGCUGUCGUCAGCUCGUGCCGUGAGGUGUCAGGUUAAGUCCUAUAACGAGCGCAACCCCUAUCACUAGUUGCCAGCGUUUCAAGACGGGGACUCUAGUGAGACUGCCAACGCAAGUUGCGAGGAAGGUGGGGACGACGUCAAGUCAUCACGGCCCUUACGCCUUGGGCCACACACGUGCUACAAUGGCCGGUACAAAGGGCUGCUAUCCCGCGAGGGUGAGCGAAUCCCAUAAAGCCGGUCUCAGUUCGGAUUGGAGUCUGCAACUCGACUCCAUGAAGCUGGAGUUGCUAGUAAUCCCGGAUCAGCACGCCGGGGUGAAUACGUUCCCGGGUCUUGUACACACCG
rnacentral:rRNA from 1 species